AGAGAGAGACAUGCGCGCAUAUCAAUAAGCGGAGGAAAAGAAACUAACAAGGAUUCCCUUAGUAACGGCGAGUGAAGCGGGAAGAGCUCAAAUUUGAAAUCUUCAAGGUUUUACCUUGACGAAUUGUAGUUUAAAGAAGUGUUUUCUGCUGAAGUUUUGGUAAAAGUUCUUUGGAAUAGGACAUCAUAGAGGGUGAGAAUCCCGUAUUUGACCAUUAUUUUCAGCUUUGUGAUACACUUUCAAAGAGUCGGAUUGUUUGGGAAUGCAGUCCAAAAUGGGUGGUAAAUUUCAUCUAAAGCUAAAUAUUGGCGAGAGACCGAUAGCGAACAAGUACCGUGAGGGAAAGAUGAAAAGAACUUUGAAAAGAGAGUUAAACAGUACGUGAAAUUGUCAAAAGGGAAGCGUUUGACACCAGUGUUGUUUUCUCGAAAAUCAAUUAAAAAUGGCUCGAUUUUGUAUUGCUGAGACCUUAAAAGCUCACUGUACAUUUUUCGUGUCUUUUUUAAUGCACUUUUCGUUUAACAAGUCAACAUCAGUUUCUUUUGUUGUGAAAAGGGUCAUUGGAAGGUGGCUUUCUUUUCGGAGAAAGUGUUUAUAGCCUUUGGCCUCUGCAAUCGGAAGAGACUGAGGUCUGCAGCGUAGACUCUUCGGGGUUAGAUACAUUUGUGCUAAGUUAUAGCUUUUUAUAGACAACUUGUUGACUAUAAUUAGUCUUGUAGCUUACUCGCUUAUGCUAUUUUACCUACGCUUAGGAUGUUGAAGAUGUAGCACAUCAU
rnacentral:rRNA from 1 species